rnacentral:rRNA from 1 species
AGGCGGCGGGUGCUAAUACAUGCAAGUCGAGCGAAUGGAUUAAGAGCUUGCUCUUAUGAAGUUAGCGGCGGACGGGUGAGUAACACGUGGGUAACCUGCCCAUAAGACUGGGAUAACUCCGGGAAACCGGGGCUAAUACCGGAUAACAUUUUGAACCGCAUGGUUCGAAAUUGAAAGGCGGCUUCGGCUGUCACUUAUGGAUGGACCCGCGUCGCAUUAGCUAGUUGGUGAGGUAACGGCUCACCAAGGCAACGAUGCGUAGCCGACCUGAGAGGGUGAUCGGCCACACUGGGACUGAGACACGGCCCAGACUCCUACGGGAGGCAGCAGUAGGGAAUCUUCCGCAAUGGACGAAAGUCUGACGGAGCAACGCCGCGUGAGUGAUGAAGGCUUUCGGGUCGUAAAACUCUGUUGUUAGGGAAGAACAAGUGCUAGUUGAAUAAGCUGGCACCUUGACGGUACCUAACCAGAAAGCCACGGCUAACUACGUGCCAGCAGCCGCGGUAAUACGUAGGUGGCAAGCGUUAUCCGGAAUUAUUGGGCGUAAAGCGCGCGCAGGUGGUUUCUUAAGUCUGAUGUGAAAGCCCACGGCUCAACCGUGGAGGGUCAUUGGAAACUGGGAGACUUGAGUGCAGAAGAGGAAAGUGGAAUUCCAUGUGUAGCGGUGAAAUGCGUAGAGAUAUGGAGGAACACCAGUGGCGAAGGCGACUUUCUGGUCUGUAACUGACACUGAGGCGCGAAAGCGUGGGGAGCAAACAGGAUUAGAUACC